rnacentral:lncRNA from 1 species
AGAGCGCGUGCGGCCGCCGAGCACAUGGGCCCGCGGGCCGGGCGGACUCGGGGCGGCGGGGCCCGGGGGAACGGCGAGGGGCCGCGAGCGAGGAUGAGCCCCGGCGCGCCCCCGCCCCGGACCCCCUCGAGUGGAUUUCCACGCAGAAAGGAUGUUGGCGGUCCCAGUGACCUGCGGAGACACGGUUGGAGCCACCUUUCA